GCUUGUCACACAAAUAAAAAUAAUAUUUGUGGGCCGGGUGUGGUGGCUCAUGCCUGUAAUCCCAGCACUUUGGGAGGCUAAAGUGGGCAGAUCACUUGAAGUUGGGAGUUUGAGACCAGCCUGACCAACAUGGAGAAAUCCCAUUUGUACUAAACACACACACACACACACACACACACACACACACACACACAAUUAACCAGGUGUGGUGGCUCAUGACUGUAGUCCUAGCUACUCAGGAGGCUGAGGCAGGAUAAUCGCUUGAACUUGGGAAGUGGAGGUUGUGGUGAGCUGAGAUUGUGCCAUUGCACUCCAGCCUGGGCAACAAGAGUGAAACUCCGUCUCAAAAAAUCUACAUAUAUUUGUGACUGGCAGCUGCUUUAUAAGUCUGUAGAGUGGAUUCCUGUGCUUGGGGUCGACCUAUGUUGUCAGUGGGGGCUUAGGUUUUUUUUUUUUUGAGAUGGAGUCUCACCCUUGUUUCCCAGGCUGGAGUGCAGUGGUGCAAUCUUGGUUCACUGCAACCUCUGCCUCCUGCAUUUAAGUGAUUCUCCUGCCUCGGCCUCCUAAGUAACUGGGAUUACUGGCAUCUGCCACCACACCUGGCUAAUUUUUUUUUGUAUUUGUGGUAGAGGCGGGGUUUCAGCAUGUUGGCCAGGCUGGUUUUGAACUCCUGACCUCAGGUGAUCUGCCCUCCUCAGCCUCCGAAGGUGCUGGGAUUACAGGUGUGAGCCACUGCGCCUGGGCCCUUAGGGUUUUAUUAUGUUUGUUUUACAGACAAAGGAUCUAAGGGUCUGCCUAGCAGACCUUUCACACGGUGUCAGAGGCAGAGCUGGGGCAGGGUCCCCACCACUCGGCCCCUCUGUGAGGCUAGUGAUCUUCAGGCUUGGAGUUCUCCAGGGACAUGUGGGCACUAUUUACAGCAUCUGCACAUCUUGCCAAGGAUGGAGUCUUGCUCUGUUGCCAGGCUGGAGUGCAGUGGUACGAACUUGGUUCACUGCAACCUCUACCUCCCGGGUUCAAGCGAUUCUCCUGCCUCAGCCUCCCCAGUAGAUGGGACCACAGGUGCGUGCCACCAUGUCCAGCUAAUUUUUGUAUUUUUAGUAGAGACGGGAUUUCACCAUGUUGGCCAGGAUGGUCUUGAUCUCUUGACCUUGUGAUCUGCCUGCCUCAGCCUCCCAAAGUGCUGGGAUUACAGGCUUGAGCCACCGUGCCCAGCCAAAAAAAAUUUAUUUUUAGAGAUGAGGACUUGCUAUGUUGCCCAGGCUGGCCUCAAGUAAUCCCUUGUUCUUGGGCUCCCAAAGUGUUGAGAUUAUAGGCGUGAAGCGCUUCACCUGGCCUCCAUGCCUAUUUUAACAGACUUUCCACGUGCUUCUGCUGCACAGUCAGGGUUGAAAACCCCUGGAGUAAAGUUUUCGUGAUCAGAGCAAGAAGAUUCGACUGGAUCAGCGAGUAGAGAAGAGAUGUACCGUCACCCCCUUCAGAUGGUCAUCACUUCCUCCAGUGACAGUGGUUGACCAGUUUGUUUUCCUGGGACUGCACCAGACCCCGCAGUUGAGAUAAUGUGUUCAGUGCUGACCCACUGCCACCAUUGUGCAUUUAGAACCCAUAAUUCAGCCACCUUUAUUGAGUCCCUGCUGUGUAUGAGGCCGGAGACGCCGAGGUGGAUGCUACAGAGAGAACCCUGAAGGUCGGGACACUCCUUUUAGCUUCAUACAUUCUGUGGCUCUGCCAGGGGACACCCAUCUGUGGCAUAGCCGGGGCAGGGUGGUGACAGAGGCUCAAGCACGGUCUUGUCUGUACCAUCCUUGGGUGCCCAUUCUGGCUCUGAUGUUGUUGGCUGGAAGCCCAGGCCCCCAGCUGACCUUCCCCGCCCAGCGUUCUCUCGGGUUGUCCAGUCUGCAUUGAUCAUAGUCUGUAAUCCCUGGUACGCGGCACAUCAAUUAAACAGUGUCCUCCACAGGAAGGGCUUUGAUCUCCCUCCCCAGCUCUGACAGGCGGCUUUAUUGAUGUCGC
rnacentral:lncRNA from 13 species